rnacentral:rRNA from 1 species
UACGUAGGGGGCAAGCGUUAUCCGGAUUUACUGGGUGUAAAGGGAGCGUAGGCGGCUUAGUAAGUCAGAAGUGAAAGCCCGCAGCUCAACUGCGGGACUGCUUUUGAAACUGCCAGGCUAGAGUGUCGGAGAGGUAAGUGGAAUUCCUAGUGUAGCGGUGAAAUGCAUAGAUAUCGCGCAGAACUCCGAUUGCGAAGGCAGCAUGCCGGCUCCACACUGACGCUGAGGCACGAAAGCGUGGGUAUCGAACAGG